CCUAUAGCUCAGUUGGUUAGAGCACCUGACUCAUAAUCAGGGGGUCCAUGGUUCGAGCCCAUGU
rnacentral:tRNA from 1 species